rnacentral:lncRNA from 1 species
GUAAGUGUGCUAGUCUAUAAAAAAAUUGAGAAAAGUAAUAUGAAAGGGGGACAGAGGAGGCGGGACAGAUGACAUAAGAGUCGCUAAGAGCUGGUAAUUGUAGAAGUUGGGCACGUGGGGAAGGGUGGUCAUUAUACUGUAUUGUCUGCUUUUGUGUAUAUUGGAAGUUUUCCACAAGAAAAAGUUGGGAAAAGAAAACACAAAUGUGAGUGAAUUUGGAUACCUGCACUCCUGGCCUCCUGCUGAGCGGCCGGUGGGGAGCGGGCAUGUGAUGCACCGUGGCUCCUGUGAGGUGGGCUCGGCAAGUCUGGACAGACUAUCCUUCUCUCACAGCCACACUGCAGAGCCGUGAUCAGACCCGUGGUCAUGAUCACGUCACCCCUUCUCUGGGUGAGAGCCCCAUAGAGCAUCUGAUCAAAGCCAGGGACCCCACCCCAGAAAAAGGCACACACUCCACUGCAACUCCAGCCAUGGAGAGCCCUUGCACUGGCCACAGAGGGGGGCCCAGCGUUUGGGACAGCUGGCCCCGACUCUCCCAGCGGUGGUGUGCUCUUGCCCCGUGUCUUAACUGUCUGGGGUUGUUCUGGCUUGGGGAAAGAGCUGCGCAAUAUGUGCUUCAAGGACAAGAUAUUUAGCCCAGGAGGUGAUGCCAGCAUAAAAGGUGGCGCGUUUCCCGAGGCCUGUGUGGUCACCAGGGGCAGGUGCUGGGGAAAUGGGGGGGGAGGGGGGUCAAAGGGUGCAAACUGCCAUUAGUAGGAUGAGUCAAUCUAGAGAUCUAACGUGCAGCACGCAGGAUGACUACAGUUAACAAGGCCGUCUCAUACACGGGAAAUUCGCUGAGAAUAGAUUUUAGGUGCUUGUACCAAGAAAAAAAAGACAAGGAAGCCAGCUGCCCUGCCUGUGAGCAGCCCUGUGGAGAGGCCCAUGUGGUGAGGACCUGAUGCCUCCUGCCACCAGCCACACCCGGGAGCUUACAGGAGAAAUGAUAACGUAGUUCAAGUCAAAGCAAGUCCCUGAGUGUUCACUGCAGCAGUCUCCGUAACAGCCAAAAAGAAGACACAGCACAAAUGCCCAUUGACUGAUGAACGGACAGAAGAGGUGUGGUCUGUGCAGCAAGGGAACACCACACAAAGGAGUGAGGUGCUGACACGCUACAGUGCAACAGACCUGGAAGACAGCGCACUAAGUGAAAGAGGCCCGAUGCGAAAGCCCACGCGCUGUGAUCACACUCAUCCCGCGUGUGCAGAGCCCCCAGUGCAGAGACAGAGAGCAGGGGUGAUGAAGAAACAAGCUCAUAGUGCAGAAAUUCAUUCCCAAAGAAGACCCAGGCAUUGCUGACAGCAAGUUCGACAGACACCGUUGG